rnacentral:rRNA from 1 species
GUAGGAUGCUUGCUCCUCUUUACGUUAGCGGCGGACGGGUGAGUAACACGUGGAUAACCUACCUAUAAGACUGGGAUAACUUCGGGAAACCGGAGCUAAUACCGGAUAAUAUAUUGAACCGCAUGGUUCAAUAGUGAAAGACGGUUUUGCUGUCACUUAUAGAUGGAUCCGCGCCGCAUUAGCUAGUUGGUAAGGUAACGGCUUACCAAGGCAACGAUGCGUAGCGACCUGAGAGGGUGAUCGGCCACACUGGAACUGAGACACGGUCCAGACUCCUACGGGAGGCAGCAGUAGGUGAAUCUUCCGCAAUGGGCGAAAGCUGACGGAGCAACGCCGCGUGAGUGAUGAAGGUCUUCGGAUCGUAAAACUCUGUUAUUAGGGAAGAACAAAUGUGUAAGUAACUAUGCACGUCUUGACGGUACCUAAUCAGAAAGCCACGGCUAACUACGUGCCAGCAGCCGCGGUAAUACGUAGGUGGCAAGCGUUAUCCGGAAUUAUUGGGCGUAAAGCGCGCGUAGGCGGUUUUUUAAGGCUUAUGUGGAAGGCCCCGGGUUAACCCGGGGGGGGCAAUGGGAACUUGGAAAAUUUAGGUCAAGAGGGGGAAAGGGGAAUUCCAUGU